rnacentral:lncRNA from 1 species
UGGCUUUAAAUGAGUCCUGCAUAUUAAAAAAAAUGCUCUUUCUGUGACCUGAGCAAUGUGUUGAACCCUGCCAAGCUAUUUACCUGCUGCAUCCCUUGCGCAAGCAGGAACACAACUGGUAACGGUGAGAGAGCGUAAAUGGCACUAUGUAAAUCAUCAUUCCCAUAAUCCAAUUCCUUCGCUCAGGUUCUCAGUUCUGAAGUCUCAAGCCCAAAGCUUGUCCAACUGUUCUUGAUGGGAGAUGUCAGCAGUUUAUUUUAUAGAGGACAUAGAAAAUUAAUAAUGCAGCAAUAGCAGGCUAUGCCUCAGAUAGGGUCUUGUGCUGUCUGAAGACCUUCAUAGUCCCCUGAGACAUUUACUCAGCACCUGUCUUUGCAUAGGCCUGUAUGGGACUCCUGCCCUCUAAGAGAUUCUAAUCUGAGAUGAACACCACUGAUGUGCAUCUACAGUGUUCAGACAACUGAGCAAGCAUCAGGUCUCUCCAUCUCCAGCUCUCACCACAACUGGAGCCUCACCUCUGUCGGUGCCUGUGGCAUCACCUCAGCUCUUUCUACCUUCUGGAUGGAAGAAAGCUGCAAUACAAUGUGUCACUCUGCUUGUAAUUUACUACUACAAUUCCAUCUUCUUUUUUGGGUUCUCUGCUCCAAGGAGAGGCAUGCAUAAGAAAGGUCUGCAUGAUUAUUCUGCCUUAAUUGCUUUGACUCUCGCUCAUGUCCUCCAUACUGCCGGAACUCCCUCCCCUUUCAUAUCCACAGACCACUACUCUUCUCAUCUUCACAGUCCUACUAAAAUUAUAACUCCUCCAGGAAGGCUUCCCCAACUAACCUCUUCUCCCCAAUUAUAUUUAUUGGGUGCUGACG